rnacentral:lncRNA from 1 species
GACCAUGGUCAUAUCCUUUUGGAUAUAAACAUUGUGAUGACCUUUUUUUACUAUCGAGGUUUCCUUUUUUGUAGGAAAAGUUACUGUGGCUAUGCCUCAUAGUGUGAUGAACCUUGAACUAGUAGUAUCAGUACCUAAUACUCGUUCCAUUGAAGGGGACUCACAUAUGAGCACAAGUAUAGCAACAAGACCAGGAAGGGGCAGCUCUUAUGGCCAGCUUGAUCAAAUAAAUUACUGUGCAUACACCUAGAUUUGGCUAAGAUUUAAGGGUAAAGUAGCUGUGUUUUGGAACAAAAUCCAAAUAUAACUCUGCAUUACAACAGCCCGGGAUCAAAUCAAACAAAUGGUUCAGGCAAAAACACAGAGGUCAAUCACGAAAUGAGGCUUCAAUACACCAUGGUUGAGUCGUUCUGGAAGUGGCAAUUCACAUGGUAACCUGAUAGGUACUUAGCGGAGAAGUUUGAGACAUGCUGGGGCAGUAUUCAUACACAAUAUCAUAGAAGGUCAUUCAAGGAAGGAAUUCAGAAAAAGAGAUCAUCAAAAAACACAAAGAGGACCUAUAAAACUGAGAACAAAAAGGAAGCAAGUGGGCAACUAUUGACAUGGAUUAUCAGUGGAACACAUGCAGUCAUUACAUGGAACAAGUUGUAGAUAUUUUGGAUAGUUUGGAACAAAUAUUGAUACUACAACAUGAAGGAAAGGAAAUUCUCACCUACAUCAUACAAUGCCAAUACACGAAGACAAGGGAUAUUUUAUGCACCAAUUAUCGAGUAUAUUUAGUAUCCAUUUUGUGAUAUCAUUAUUGAGUCCACCACUCAACAUUGAUAAUAGGUCGUAUGUAGUUUUUAAAUUUUAGGUUUUUCAUUGUACAAGACAUCCUGACAAACUAUUUUUAUUUUUUACUUUACUAUAUAUAUAAAAACCAUCCCUAGGCACAUAGCCUAGUGGAUUGCCUAAAUAAUUACUGGGAAGGAGCCAGUGGCAGCAAUUGGCGAUGAUAGUGGUGAAUCUGAUGACUCUAAGGAAAAGGAGGUUGAGCAGGAGGAUGUGAAGGC